AUAGUUUUGCUGUCCCAAACCAUGGCUGCCUUAAGUUUGCUAAUCAGGAUGAAGUAGAUGAUUUUGUUGAUCAAUAUAGCAAGUCUAAUAACAAAGUAGGAGAGAGUUGUCAGAUAUUUAAGGCAGGAGAAGUUACAGAAGCACUUCACUCCAAAGGAAAAAAUCAAGUUUUUGAUGAAAAAGGAGUGUUUGGUAGUUGUUGCAGUCAGCAUUCACACCUUGGACGAUUUUUCAGCACUAAAUAUGGGGAAAGAAUUUCGUAUUCGCUGUUCCUAAUCCAAAGCAUUUUAAAGAUGCUGACCAAAGUCCUGGUGUUGAUUUAAAAUAAUGUAUGAUAUUGGAUGUGUAUUAUCAUCACAUUUAAAGGCAAACAAGAGGCAUGACAUUUUGUCAAAAGUCUCAAUUUCGGUGCCGAUAUUUCAUUUUUAUGGACACAAGGCUUCAUGCCAGGUCAAAUUCAGUCCUAGAAGGCUCGAUGGUUUUGGUCUUACAGAUGGUGAGGCUAUUGAAAGGCUCUGGGCUUACCUUCGUAGGUUCUCUGCAAUUACUAAGGAGAUGUCUGCCAGUAGAAGAGUACCGUAGAUCUUUUGACAGACGCGCUUCUUCACAUAUCUCGAAGAAAUUUUAGCAAUGCAGGAAAAUCGUUAACGUCGAAGCUUAAAAAAUGUCUACAACUUAAAAUUAAAACGCAACAAGAAAUGAAGGAUUUAUUUAGCGAACUACCUGUGACGUACGAUCCUGAAAUUGUUUGUCAGUGGGAGGCCAGAGAGAAGGAAAUUAUGUCAAGAGUCAACCCAGAACAUAAAGAAACCACGGAGAACUGGAAAGUGACGUACGUUCGAAAGCUACUGCAUUUUAAACAACUAAGUGCUACAUCAUUCGGAUGUUUUGAAGAAAACCAGGAGAUAACAUCUCUGAAGAUUACUCAAUUCAUCAGAUGUCGAAAAAACUAUACCAGUUUCGAAAGAUUUUAAAAGAUAUUGAACGAAAGCAUUCUAUAAAAGAAAGAUGGAAACCUGGUCAUCCUAAUUUUGACAUCGUUG